rnacentral:rRNA from 1 species
CGUAGGGUCCGAGCGUUGUCCGGAAUUAUUGGGCGUAAAGAGCUCGUAGGCGGUUUGUCGCGUCUGCUGUGAAAUCCCGAGGCUCAACCUCGGGCCUGCAGUGGGUACGGGCAGACUGGAGUGCGGUAGGGGAGAAUGGAAUUCCUGGCGUAGCGGUGGAAUGCGCAGAUAUCAGGAGGAACACCGAUGGCGAAGGCAGUUCUCUGGGCCGUAACUGACGCUGAGGAGCGAAAGCGUGGGGAGCGAACAGGAUUAGAUACCCUGGUAGUCCACGCCGUAAACGUUGGGCGCUAGAUGUGGGGACCUUUCCACGGUUUCCGUGUCGUAGCUAACGCAUUAAGCGCCUUGCUUGGGGAGUACGGCCGCAAGGCUAA